rnacentral:rRNA from 1 species
UACGUAGGGUGCAAGCGUUAAUCGGAAUUACUGGGCGUAAAGCGUGCGCAGGCGGUUUUGUAAGACAGGGGGGAAAUCCCCGGGCUCAACCUGGGAACUGCCAUUGUGACUGCAAGGCUGGAGUGCGGCAGAGGGGGAUGGAAUUCCGCGUGUAGCAGUGAAAUGCGUAGAUAUGCGGAGGAACACCGAUGGCGAAGGCAAUCCCCUGGGCCUGCACUGACGCUCAUGCACGAAAGCGUGGGGAGCAAACAGG